rnacentral:rRNA from 1 species
AGACGCUAUUCCCUAAGAUUAACCCAUGCAUGUUUUUGACAUUUGAAAAAUGGACUGCUCAGUAAUACUCACUUUAUUUUAUGUAAAUUUUUGAUUAAUUAACUACGUUAAAGUGUAGAUAAGAUGUUUACAGUAAGAGUGAGACCUAUCAGCUAGUUGUUAAGGUAAUGGCUUAACAAGGCUGUGACGGGUAACGGUAUUACUUUGUAAUAUUCCGGAGAAGGAGCCUGAGAGACGGCUACUAAGUCUAAGGAUUGCAGCAGGGGCGAAACUUGACCUAUGGAUUUUAUCUGAGGCAGUUAUGGGAAGUAAUAUUAUAUUGUUUCAUAUUUUAAAAGUAUAUGAGGUGAUUAAUUGGAGGGCAAAUCAAGUGCCAGCAGCCGCGGUAAUACUUGUUCCAAGAGUGUGUAUGAUGAUUGAUGCAGUUAAAAAGUCCGUAGUUUAUUUUUUAAGAAGCAAUAUGAGGUGUACUGUAUAGUUGGGAGAAAGAUGAAAUGUGACGACCCUGACUGGACGAAC